rnacentral:rRNA from 1 species
CCUACGGGGUGCAGCAGUGGGGAAUAUUGGGCAAUGGGCGCAAGCCUGACCCAGCAACGCCGCGUGAAGGAAGAAGGCUUUCGGGUUGUAAACUUCUUUUGUCAGGGAAGAGUAGAAGACGGUACCUGACGAAUAAGCCACGGCUAACUACGUGCCAGCAGCCGCGGUAAUACGUAGGUGGCAAGCGUUGUCCGGAUUUACUGGGUGUAAAGGGCGUGUAGCCGGGUUGACAAGUCAGAUGUGAAAUCCUGCGGCUUAACCGCAGAACUGCAUUUGAAACUGUUGAUCUUGAGUACUGGAGAGGCAGACGGAAUUCCUAGUGUAGCGGUGAAAUGCGUAGUUAUUAGGAGGAACACCAGUGGAGAAGGCGGUCUGCUGGACAGCAACUGACGGUGAGGCGCGAAAGCGUGGGGAGCAAACAGGAUUAGAUACCCCAGUAGUC